rnacentral:rRNA from 1 species
UACGUAUGUCACAAGCGUUAUCCGGAUUUAUUGGGCGUAAAGCGCGUCUAGGUGGUUAUAUAAGUCUGAUGUGAAAAUGCAGGGCUCAACUCUGUAUUGCGUUGGAAACUGUGUAACUAGAGUACUGGAGAGGUAAGCGGAACUACAAGUGUAGAGGUGAAAUUCGUAGAUAUUUGUAGGAAUGCCGAUGGGGAAGCCAGCUUACUGGACAGAUACUGACGCUGAAGCGCGAAAGCGUGGGUAGCAAACAGGAUUAGAAACCCCGGUAGUCC